GGAUCAUUACUGAGUUGUCCUCCGAGGACACUCCCUUUACACCCCUUGUGAACAUACCGUCGUUGCCUCGGUGGGCGCGUUACCACGCCCGCCGGCGGCCCCUUUACCUAAAUUCUGUUAAUCUUACUACUUCUGAACCUAUAACAAAUCAUGUUAAAACUUUCAACAACGGAUCUCUUGGUUCUGGCAUCGAUGAAGAACGCAGCGAAAUGCGAUACGUAAUGUGAAUUGCAGAAUUCAGUGAAUCAUCGAAUCUUUGAACGCACAUUGCGCCCGCUGGUAUUCCAGCGGGCAUGCCUGUUCGAGCGUCAUUUCAACCCUUAAGCCCCUGUUGCUUAGUGUUGGGAGACUACCGCGCCAUGCCGCGGCGGUAGCUCCCUAAAGCGAGUGGCGGAGCCGACCUGUGCUCUAGGCGUAGUAGAUUUUCGUCUCGCCUCUGUAAGUCAGGUCUGGUCUUUCCUGCCGUAAAACGAAGAGAACACACCUUGUUCUUUUUACCUCUAGGUUGACCUCGGAUCAGGUAGGAAUACCCGCUGAACUUAAGCAUAUCAAUAAGCGGAGGAAAAGAAACCAACAGGGAUUGCCUCAGUAACGGCGAGUGAAGCGGCAACAGCUCAAAUUUGAAAUCUGGCUUUCGGGUCCGAGUUGUAAUUUGUAGAGGAUGCUUUUGGCGCGGUGCCUUCCGAGUUCCCUGGAACGGGACGCCGUAGAGGGUGAGAGCCCCGUACGGUUGGCCACCAAGCCUCUGUAAAGCUCCUUCGACGAGUCGAGUAGUUUGGGAAUGCUGCUCUAAAUGGGAGGUAAAUUUCUUCUAAAGCUAAAUAUUGGCCAGAGACCGAUAGCGCACAAGUAGAGUGAUCGAAAGAUGAAAAGCACUUUGAAAAGAGGGUUAAACAGCACGUGAAAUUGUUGAAAGGGAAGCGUUUGCGACCAGACCUUUUCCUGGCGGAUCAUCCGGUGUUCUCACCGGUGCACUUCGCCAGGUCGAGGCCAGCAUCGGUUUCUGCGGGGGGAUAAAAGCUUGGGGAACGUAGCUCCUCCGGGAGUGUUAUAGCCCCUCGCAUAAUACCCUCGCGGGGACCGAGGACCGCGCU
rnacentral:rRNA from 1 species